rnacentral:rRNA from 1 species
UACGUAGGGGGCAAGCGUUGUCCGGAUUUAUUGGGCGUAAAGAGCGUGUAGGCGGCCUGAAAGGUCAGCUGUGAAAACUCGAGGCUCAACCUCGAGACGUCGGUUGAAACCGUCUGGCUAGAGUCCGGAAGAGGAGAGUGGAAUUCCUGGUGUAGCGGUGAAAUGCGCAGAUAUCAGGAAGUACACCCGUGGCUAAGGCGGCUCUCUAGUACGGUACUGACGCUGAGACGCGAAAGCGUGGGGAGCGAACAGG